AAAUAAAAGGGGUUUGACUUGGUCAAAAAAUAAAUAUAUGUAUAUAUAUAUAUUCAAAUUGUUUUCUUCUUCGCCCUCCCACGUGCCGAGCUUUUCUUCUUCUUCCUCUUCUUAUUCUUCUUCUUCAUUUUUUUUUCUUUCUUUCGUUCUCUUCAAAACCAGCCAUGACCACAACCCAAACAGACCUCGCCGGAGCUCCAUUUCCGACACGCGCCAGUGCUGCAGCUUCCCCGGCUGACGACGACGACAACCCCAAAGUUUGGUGACCAUCGGAUCAAGGACGUGCUCGUACAGUCACUCCGAAGUUUCACCGUCGAAACUUUGAGGCGACAUUCCGGCCAGCUCCGACCUCCAUUUGACGAGUGGUUGGUACCAUUGGAAUCAGCGUCGCAAGAGGAGCAUCGCCCACUAAGUCAUUCCAGUCAACUCGCCAUUUUUCUCCGGCGAGAUUUUGGGUAUCACCGCCCCUUUGGAAGCAUUUUCCGGUGACACUGGUGGUCAUUUGGGCGAAGGAGUUGUACUUUAGUGAUGUACUCAUCGAGAGGAUUGUUUUGAUAUAUGCCAUGCAUAUAUUCAUUGACGUUCCGGUACUGCCACCAACCGCUAUUGUGCACUGCGUGGGGAAAACGUGAUAUUAAAAUCGGACUAAAUCAUUCUAAGAUCAUCGUUAAGCUUAGGAGCGUCGCUUUGGGCUCGGAUUAAAUUCUAAGGAGGUAUCUAAAGAGGAGCCUAGUGACGCGAACGUGGAAAAGAUGAAUUAUCGAUGGAGUCAAUGUGUUUAGCCUAUGUAUAUUUCCUAUCUUUGUCUUAUCUUUUGAGCAUUAUGUAUGUAUUCGACUUCGAAUCUAAUGAUCGGUAUAUCUGAAUGAGUUAUGAAACAGUUAGGGAUGAGGAAUGGUGGAUGCUAGGUAUUAUUUUGGGUGUUUAUGACUUAUUAACUUUAACUAUUUGGUGAUUACAUAACU